ensembl:lncRNA
CAACACCUGAAAAACUUUCUGUUGAUGUGAAAUAUCCUCCAAAGCUUCCCUCUGUGUCAGUGAGUCCCUCUGCUGAGAUAGUGGAGGGCAGUUCAGUCACUCUGACCUGUAGCACUGAUGCUAACCCAGCAGCUAGUUACACCUGGUACAAGGAGGAUGAAGACUCACCUAAAACAUCAGGACACAACUUCACCAUCACUGACAUCACACCUGAACACAGUGGGAGUUAUUACUGUAAGGCCCAGAACAACAGAGGACAUCAUUACUCCACCUUACAGCUGACUGUAUCAAGAGCAUGGAAACCAACAGUUGUAUCAGGAGUCUCUGCUAUUCUCCUGGCUCUCCUACUCGUCUCUGUCAUCCUGUGGAUCAUAAAAAAGAGAUCCCCCAAGCAACAGCAGCCUGAGCCUGGAGAGAGACCGGACACUAGUGAACAGCUGCAAUCUGCAGAUGGUGAAGUCGUCUAUACUACAGUCUGCUUUGUCAAACACAAGGGUGAAGCGGUCUACGCCAACAUCAGACCAGCUCAGGCCAAAAAACACAAGGAAGAAGACGAGAGGGUCGUCUACUCUGCUGUCACUUUCAGGAGUGCCAGUACUGCCCCGAGAAUCCAGACCACAACUCCAGAAGAUGCAGAGGAUCCAGCUGCUCUGUACAGCAC